rnacentral:rRNA from 1 species
AGAACGAACGCUGGCGGCAUGCCUAACACAUGCAAGUCGAACGAGACCUUCGGGUCUAGUGGCGCACGGGUGCGUAACGCGUGGGAAUCUGCCCUUAGGUACGGAAUAACAGUGAGAAAUUACUGCUAAUACCGUAUGAUGUCUUCGGACCAAAGAUUUAUCGCCUAGGGAUGAGCCCGCGUAGGAUUAGCUAGUUGGUGGGGUAAAGGCCUACCAAGGCGACGAUCCUUAGCUGGUCUGAGAGGAUGAUCAGCCACACUGGGACUGAGACACGGCCCAGACUCCUACGGGAGGCAGCAGUGGGGAAUAUUGGACAAUGGGCGAAAGCCUGAUCCAGCAAUGCCGCGUGAGUGAAGAAGGCCUUCGGGUUGUAAAGCUCGUUUUACCCGGGAAGAUAAUGACUGUACCGGGAGAAUAAGCCCGGCUAACUCCGCGCCAGCAGCCGC